GGCAACCCUAUGGCGUAGGCUACUCCUAAUUGUUCACACCUGUAAAUGAGUUAUGCUGGCCACAAAACGGUUCAGCUAGUGACAGCUACUGACUGGGAGGAUUGCCCAUAAAUCUAGUGAAAAUUUAAAUGCAAAGUUGCUGAUACAAAUCCUGUAACUGCCUCCAACGGUUUCGGUCCGGAGAAACAAACUGAGUUCUGGAUAAGCCUGGUGAGCUAUCUGCCUGGAGCAGCCUCUUCCCUUGGAGGAGACUGUAUGAUGAGCCAGCCUGCGGGACCUGUUGAUGGCAUAUUAAGGCUUAAUGGACGAGUGGAGAACCUGCUGGAUUUCACAGUGAAGUGGGUGAUCAUGUGCCAGUAUAAUUGAAAUGCCCGACAUUCCUCCAAGCAAAAUGGACGCAUUUCUCUCACUGUUGUUGUUUUUUGUUGAUAUUCUGUUUUUAACCUUUCAUUUCAUCAGUGGCAGUCAUGAAUAAUUUGAUGUCCUAAUAGCCGGUUUGU